rnacentral:rRNA from 1 species
GAGAACGCUGGCGGCGUGCCUAACACAUGCAAGUCGAACGAAGCAUAGCAAUAUGCUUAGUGGCGGACGGGUGAGUAACGCGUGAACAAUCUGCCCUGUAACAAAGGAAUAGCCGUACGGGAAACCGGGAAUUAAAACCGUAUGACUACUUUAGUAUCGCAUGAUAAGAAAGUCAAAUCGAAUAGAGGUAUGGGAUGAGUUCGCGUCUGAUUAGCUGGUUGGCGGGGUAACGGCCCACCAAGGCGACGAUCGGUAGCCGGGCCUGAGAGGGUGAACGGCCACACUGGAACUGAGACACGGUCCAGACUCCUACGGGAGGCAGCAGUGGGGAAUAUUGCACAAUGGAGGGAACUCUGAUGCAGCGACGCCGCGUGAGUGAAGAAGGUCUUCGGAUCGUAAAACUCUGUCCUUGGUGAAGAAAAGGACGGUAGCCAAGGAGGAAGCCCCGGCUAACUACGUG